rnacentral:rRNA from 1 species
GACAGAGGUGCCAAGCGUUAGGCGGAAUUACUGGGCGUAAAGCGUGCGCAGGCGGUUUUGUAAGUCUGUCGUGAAAUCCCCGGGCUUAACCUGGGAAUGGCGAUGGAGACUGCAAGGCUAGAGUUUGGCAGAGGGGGGUAGAAUUCCACGUGUAGCAGUGAAAUGCGUAGAGAUGUGGAGGAACACCGAUGGCGAAGGCAGCCCCCUGGGUCAAAACUGACGCUCAUGCACGAAAGCGUGGGGAGCAAACAGG